rnacentral:rRNA from 1 species
UACGUAGGGUGCAAGCGUUAAUCGGAAUUACUGGGCGUAAAGCGUGCGCAGGCGGUUGUGCAAGACCGAUGUGAAAUCCCCGGGCUCAACCUGGGAAUGGCAUUGGUGACUGCACGGCUAGAGUGUGUCAGAGGGGGGGGUAGAAUUCCACGUGUAGCAGUGAAAUGCGUAGAGAUGUGGAGGAAUACCGAUGGCGAAGGCAGCCCCCUGGGAUAACACUGACGCUCAUGCACGAAAGCGUGGGGAGCAAACAGG